UGCUGCAGAUUAGAAAACCAAAAACAGCAGGUUCAGGCACUGCCAUUCGAGAUUCAGCACGUGAGCUGAACGCACUACUUGUGAGAUGGAUGAAUCACAUUGGAGAUUUUAAGUAACAGAAAUGUACUAGGUUGCAGAGAUCAUUCCAUCCAUACAAACUAAUUGCUUUUUCUGUCUCCGUAGAAGAAAAGUAUCAGAAAACACCAACUCAGCGCGAGCUACUUGGCUAGUUAGAGGAAAGCAUGACAGCAAAAUAGAAACAAAUUAUUGAAGGAUAAACCCUUGACAAGAGAAAGCAAGUUGGGUGCUCAGUAUAAUCUGCAUGCACCCACUGAACUCUACUGCCCAGGCAUAAUCACUCACCUACAAAACAAAGCCUAGUUCUAGUAAAUCACCCUUCACCACUACAUUUUCCAAGAAAUUAACUUGGAGCAAAAA